AACGAACGCUGGCGGCAUGCCUAACACAUGCAAGUCGAACGGGAUCCUAGCUUGCUAGGUGAGAGUGGCGGACGGGUGAGUAACACGUGGGAAUCUGCCUUUUGGUUCGGGAUAACCGCGGGAAACUGCGGCUAAUACCGAAUGCCCUCGAGAGAGGAAAGAUUUAUCGCCAGAAGAGGAGCCCGCGUCCGAUUAGGUAGUUGGUGGGGUAAAGGCCUACCAAGCCGACGAUCGGUAGCUGGUCUGAGAGGAUGAUCAGCCACACUGGGACUGAGACACGGUCCAGACUCCUACGGAGGCAGCAGUGGGGAAUCUUGCGCAAUGGGCGAAAGCCUGACGCAGCGACGCCGCGUGAGUGAUGAAGGCCU
rnacentral:rRNA from 1 species